GCUGUGACAGCUCAGUGGUAGAGCAUCGAACGCAAUAUUCGAAGGUCGUAGGUUCGAUUCCUGCUCACAGCU
rnacentral:tRNA from 1 species